rnacentral:rRNA from 1 species
UGAAGCUCUAGCCUUGCUAGGUUGGAUUAGUUGGCGAAACGGGUUGAGUAAUACGUUGAGUAACCUACUCUUUAACUUCUGGGAUAAGCCUGGGAAAACUGGGUCUAAUACCGGAUACGACCAAUCUCCGCAUGGGGUCGUUGGUGGAAAGCGUUAUGUAGUGGUUAUAGAUGGGCUCACGGCCUAUCAGCUUGUUGGUGAGGUAACGGCUCACCAAGGCGACGACGGGUAGCCGGCCUGAGAGGGUGACCGGCCACACUGGGACUGAGACACGGCCCAGACUCCUACGGGAGGCAGCAGUGGGGAAUAUUGCACAAUGGGCGCAAGCCUGAUGCAGCGACGCCGCGUGAGGGAUGACGGCCUUCGGGUUGUAAACCUCUGUUAGCAGGGAAGAAGAGAGAUUGACGGUACCUGCAGAGAAAGCGCCGGCUAACUACGUGCCAGCAGCCGCGGUAUNACGUAGGACGCGAGCGUGUCCGGAAUAUGGGGCGUAAAGAGCUGUAGGGCGGUUGUCGCNGUCUGCUGUGAAAGGCCGGAGCUUAACUCCGUGUAUUGCAGUGGGUACGGGCAGACUAGAGUGCAGUAGGGGAGACUGGAAUUCCUGGUGUAGCGGUGGAAUGCGCAGAUAUCAGGAGGAACACCGAUGGCGAAGGCAGGUCUCUGGGCUGUAACUGACGCUGAGAAGCGAAAGCAUGGGGAGCGAACAGGAUUAGAUACCCUGGUAGUCCAUGCCGUAAACGUUGGGCACUAGGUGUGGGGGACAUUCCACGUUUUCCGCGCCGUAGCUAACGCAUUAAGUGCCCCGCCUGGGGAGUACGGCCGCAAGGCUAAAACUCAAAGAAAUUGACGGGGGCCCGCACAAGCGGCGGAGCAUGCGGAUUAAUUCGAUGCAACGCGAAGAACCUUACCAAGGCUUGACAUAUACUGGACCGCAUCAGAGAUGGUGUCUCCCUUCGGGGCUGGUAUACAGGUGGUGCAUGGUUGUCGUCAGCUCGUGUCGUGAGAUGUUGGGUUAAGUCCCGCAACGAGCGCAACCCUCGUUCUAUGUUGCCAGCACGUUAUGGUGGGGACUCAUAGGAGACUGCCGGGGUCAACUCGGAGGAAGGUGGGGAUGACGUCAAAUCAUCAUGCCUCUUAUGUCUUGGGCUUCAUGCAUGCUACAAUGGCCGGUACAGAGGGUUGCGAUACUGUGGGGUGGAGCUAAUCCCUAAAAGCCGGUCUCAGUUCGGAUUGGGGUCUGCAACUCGACCCCAUGAAGUCGGAGUCGCUAGUAAUCGCAGAUCAGCAACGCUGCGGUGAAUACGUUCCCGGGCCUUGUACACACCGCCCGUC